GGGUCAGUAGGUUGGUCGUGCCACCGGUACGUACUGGUCUCACUGAUUCCUCCUUCCUGAAGAACCGUAAUGCCAUUAAUUCGGUGUUGCGGGGAAACAGGACUGUUACUUUGAAAAAAUUAGAGUGUUUAAAGCAAGCUAACGCUUGAAUACAUUAGCAUGGAAUAAUGAAAUAGGACGAUCGAUCCUAUUUUGUCGGUUUCUAGGAUUGACGUA
rnacentral:rRNA from 1 species